rnacentral:lncRNA from 1 species
CCGGAGCUUGUAGUAGGUACAACAAGAGUUGGGAGAAGAGCCUGGAGGCGGGACGGCAGUCAACAUUGCUGCUGCGAGGUUCAAAGCUAAGAGCUGCGAUGACGUCUGAAAUGGAGUCUUUGCUCUCUGCAACGGACCAGGCAGGGGCCAGGGAGGGUAGGCUUGCGGCGUCAGCGUGCCUUCCAGUGAACGACAGUGGUGGGAGGUGAUUUAUGCUUAAUUGUUCUAAUUUUAGGGGUUUGCAUGUGCAUAUUUUAAAUUAAAUCUUCUGGAAAUUGGUGCGUUUUAUGGUUUGUUUGAUGCUUUGCAGGAGAUUUAGGUUUAUAGAUGGAAGAAUGCAAUUUUGGAGAUUUUUGGGCUAAAAAUGGUGUUUUUAGCAGACAUCGACAUAGCAGAGCUAAGUGCCAGAGUCAACUGCCAGCGCUGACCAUUUUCAACUCAACUCAUAACUGCCAGCGCUGACCAUUUUCAGCUCCGCCCAUUCUUGCCAGCGCUGACCAUUUUCAACUCCACUCAUAACUGCCAGCGCUGACCAUUUUCAGCUCCACCCAUUCUUGCCAGCGCUGACCAUUUUCAGCUCCACCCAUAAAUGCCAGCGCUGACUUCUUUCCAGCUCCACCUAUUUCGCCAACGCUGACUACCUUUCCCAAGCAUAAUCAUCGGAGUUCACUUUCCAGAGCUAUGUUUAUUCUUUCCAGCUCUGCAUAUUCUUGCCAGCACCAUUACUUUCCAGCUAUGUUUAUUCUUGCCAGCACCGAUUACUUUCUAGCUAUGCUUAUUCUCACCAGAGCUAGGUCUAUAAAUAGGGUUUCAUUUCUAUUGUAAAAUCAUCUAUCUUUUGCUAUAGUUGUAGACUCCAUCCUUGAGAUCUCUUGGCAUCCGAAAUUUAGAAUUUAUUGCUUUCAUAGUUCUUUUUCAUAGUAUUGAAAAUUCAUUGUUUUUAGUUAGUUUUCGAUUAAGUUAAGUUUUUAGUUAUUUAUUGGAUUGUGAUUGCGUGACACAAUUACACGUUCAAGACAUUUACGGUAUUUCGUAUUUCAAUUCAAUUUAUUUUCGUUUAAUCAUGUUUAUGUUUUUAGUUCAUGUUUAUGCUUUCUUUUUAAUUAUGCAAUUUAAAUUAUGCACUUUAGUUUCAUGCCUAGAUUAGUUUUAUUUUUAAUUUACAAGUACUUAAUUUCUUAAGUUAGAUUUUAUUUAAGUUGUUUUAAUUCUGCCUAGGGUUAAUAAUUUAAUUCGCCUAGUAAUUUUACAAUUUGGUUUUAAUUCAGUUUUAAGUUUCAGUUCUAGAUUAAUAAUCAAACUCUUUACUGCUUUCUUUUAUUACUUUUUCCACGAUACUACUAGAAGCUCUUUAAGACUUUCCUUGAGAGAUGACACUGGGUCAACUUAUCAUCACUAGAAUGUCCUUGUUCUAUUGCAAGUCAAACUAGAGGUGUUCUAGGUUGAGUCAGGAGGGAUUGGGGUAAUCGGGGUCGGGUGCGGG